CAUCAUCAAGGUUCUCUAAUUUGUGGCAAAGGUCACAUUUACCCAGCUGGGUCAAGCUGGGUCAAACAGUACUUUUAAAUCCACAGAUUAACCAAGGAGCCAUGAUGUCUGGAAGAACAUAUCACCUAUCUGCUGCUGUUCCAUCCCAGGAGGAGGGCACUCCAAGUUCAGGAUGAUAAUAAUUAAAUGAUAAUAUUAAUAAAAUAUAUUAGAUUUUAUUACUGUUUAUGAAAAUCAUCAUAAAUGAUCACUAGGUUCAGUAUAAUGGUAUUUUAAUUACAUGAAAUGAGUUAUUAUGCUUUGGGUAUAAUAAUGAUUAAUUAUGAUUAUGGUUGAUGACAGUAAAAGAUGUGUUCAGCAAAGAAGGCCAGUUUCACCGUAUCCAUCUAACACAGAGUCCAGAUAAACAAUAACCCAACACAUGUGUUUGACGCAUGACCAAGCUUUCUUGCUGAGAGAGUGGGAGUGUCCUGAGAGCUUUUGUAAACUAACCAUCACAGCUUCACGGCAGUUCUUGAACCAACAUCACUGAGGAAGGAAACGGCCAUCCCUAACCUCUGCCAAGCUGUUCUGUCACGCUGACAAGAAUAGCUAAGAAUAAACAAAACCUUAACCAGCUGAUGAAAAAACUCCUGACAGAGUCAUUGGUUUUUGAGUUAAGACGAAAAACUCCUUCAGAGUUACGGACUUUGAGACACCAAUAGUUCAUCAGUCGUGUGACCCACGGAGACAACCCAGGACUGAUUUGGUCGCAUAGAGGUCCUUCUACCAUCCUCGUGCCCGGAGGAAAUCAUCUCCACUUGACAUCUCGGAUCCGAAUGGGGGUCUCCGGAACUGGGUGGGUGUGUCUGGAGAGCUCAGCUGUAUCAAAUCAGCUCAUCAGCGGUCAGGGGAUGUAAGGAGCAGCAGGACAACUCACCAGUGCCAGAUGAUACUCAGUCUUGGGUUCCAGUCAUCUAUUCAUAUUUGCUUCCUGCAACAUCACCGGAACCAUCAUCAACAUUCCGGUCCUGCUGUUUGCCCCUGAUCGCCUG